rnacentral:sRNA from 1 species
AUUCACUAGUGAUUAGGAUAGAGGCCUACCAUGGUUUUAACGGGUAACGGGGAAUUAGGGUUCGAUUCCGGAGAGGGAGCCUGAGAAACGGCUACCACAUCCAAGGAAGGCAGCAGGCGCGCAAAUUACCCAAUCCCGAUACGGGGAGGUAGUGACAAUAAAUAACAAUACAGGGCUUUAUAGUCUUGUAAUUGGAAUGAGUACAAUUUAAAUCUCUUAACGAGGAACAAUUGGAGGGCAAGUCUGGUGCCAGCAGCCGCGGUAAUUCCAGCUCCAAUAGCGUAUAUUAAAGUUGUUGCAGUUAAAAAGCUCGUAGUUGAAUUUCGGGGUUAGUAGGUUGGUCAUGCCUCUGGUAUGUACUGGUCUCACUGAUUCCUCCUUCCUGAUGAACCGUAAUGCCAUUAAUUUGGUGUUGCGGGGAAUUUGGACUGUUACUUUGAAAAAAUUAGAGUGUUUAAAGCAAGCUAACGCUUGAAUACAUUAGCAUGGAAUAAUGAAAUAGGACGUUCGAUCCUAUUUUGUUGGUUUCUAGGAUUGACGUAAUGAUUAAUAGGGAUAGUUGGGGGCAUUAGUAUUCAAUUGUCAGAGGUGAAAUUCUUGGAUCUAUUGAAGACUAACUACUGCGAAAGCAUUUGCCAAGGAUGUUUUCAUUAAUCAAGAACGAAAGUUAGGGGAUCGAAGACGAUCAGAUACCGUCGUAGUCUUAACCAUAAACUAUGCCGACUAGGGAUCGGAUGAUGUUAAUUUUUUAAUGACUCAUUCGGCGCCUUACGGGAAACCAAAGUGUUUGGGUUC